UACGUAGGGGGCAAGCGUUGUUCGGAAUUACUGGGCGUAAGGGGCGCGUAGGCGGCACGGCAAGUCAGGAGUGAAAGCCCGGGGCUCAACCCCGGAAUGUCUUUUGAAACUGCCGAGCUAGAGUGCGGAAGAGGCAACUGGAAUUCCCAGUGUAGCGGUGAAAUGCGUAGAUAUUGGGAAGAACACCUGAGGCGAAGGCGGGUUGCUGGGCCGACACUGACGCUGAGGCGCGAAAGCCAGGGGAGCAAACGGG
rnacentral:rRNA from 1 species